rnacentral:lncRNA from 1 species
GGGGAGUUGGGAUCUGGGUGCAGUUUGGUGCCUGGUCGCCGUCGCCGUCGCUGUCCCGCCACCCGCACGAGCGAACCCUUGACUGCAGCGGGCCCAGGUUGAGCCAGGAAGGGCCUGGCACCCUGGGCGCUGGCCUCGGAGCCCUGGGGCGGCCUCCGUGCAGUCCCUGCGUUCGCCAGAGAAUCCUGGAGCCCGCAGGAAAAACGGCGCCGCGCCCUGGCCCACCCCUACUGAGGCCGCGAAGGCCCGGCGUUCCUGAGACCCGGGUCCGCGUCUUGGGUCCAGAAAGGGAUUAAGUGCACCGACAAACCGGACGGCAGACCUCGCUGGGGCCUGAGAAAUGUCCUGUAGACUCCUGGAGCAGAACGAGGGCGACGCUUCUCAGGCCGCCUUUUCUCCAGCCGCCCUCCGCAGCACGGGAGAGCGCUGGAUUCGCUCGCAGCUGGCGCUCUAGGGUCCCCUUGGCCGGAGCCGGGAGAGCCAUCGGUGGGGAAAGAACCAGGUUUGGCCGAUUUCUCCAGCCGCUGCAGCGACCGCGCACUUCGUGUCGCACCACACCUGAGAGUUUGAGAACUGAUCAGACCCAAGCAGAUGCUACCAGGCGGCACUUUAUUUUCCUGGUCAGCCUACCCCCACGACACCCCAGAGGAAUAGGUUUUGGGGAAUAGUGGUGCAAGGUGUCUCAAGGUGUCUCUUCCCUUGGAACCAGCUAGCAGUCAGCUUCCGGAUUCUUUGAACGGGGGGCAGGCUUCAAAAUCAGAGCAGUUUCUCUCCCUGUUCACAUUUCUGGUGAAAUGCAAACUGUCAUUGGGUGCUUUCUAGAGUCCCCUGGUUUUGGGGGUCCUGAUGACUGACCUCUGUGAUAGGGUGCUUCUGAAUCUUUCCCUAACCAUCCCUCUUGAGUUUUUCUGCCAGCUCACAAGAGGCCUGGGCACAAAUAAGCCUGAUAUUCCCACAAGCCAGUUCUCAGUGUUUCUCAGUCCUAGGCUGUUCCAGCCAUGGCAUCCUAAGGCAUUACCAUGCAGGUGCCCUUUUGCAGGCAGGAGUUCUUUGGAGCCCUGGGAGCCCGUGUUUGGCUCCAGCAGGCAGUAACACCCUGUGACAAGAAAGGAAGCUGGGAUUUUGUGUGGAGGGGGCAACAGUUGUGCAACUAAAAACUCCAGGUC